rnacentral:rRNA from 1 species
CAGUAGCCGCGGUAAUACGAAGGGUGCAAGCGUUAAUCGGAAUUACUGGGCGUAAAGCGUGCGUAGGCGGUUUGUCAAGUCUGUUGUGAAAUCCCCGGGCUCAACCUGGGAAUGGCAAUGGAUACUGGCAAGCUAGAGUGUGUCAGAGGAUGGUGGAAUUCCCGGUGUAGCGGUGAAAUGCGUAGAGAUCGGGAGGAACAUCAGUGGCGAAGGCGGCCAUCUGGGACAACACUGACGCUGAGGCACGAAAGCGUGGGGAGCAAACAGGAUUAGAUACCCGUGUAGUCCCUGUCUCUUAUAA